rnacentral:rRNA from 1 species
AACGAACGCUGGCGGCAUGCCUAACACAUGCAAGUCGAACGAGACCUUCGGGUCUAGUGGCGCACGGGUGCGUAACGCGUGGGAACCUGCCCUUAGGUUCGGAAUAACUCCCCGAAAGGGGUGCUAAUACCGGAUAAUGUCUUCGGACCAAAGAUUUAUCGCCUUUGGAUGGGCCCGCGUUGGAUUAGCUAGUUGGUGGGGUAAAAGCCUACCAAGGCGACGAUCCAUAGCUGGUCUGAGAGUAUGAUCAGCCACACUGGGACUGAGACACGGCCCAGACUCACAAGGGGGGAAGGAGUGGGAAAUUGAGCAAACCGGGCCGAGGGAUGGAUCAAGAUUCCCGGGUGAGUAAACCACGCUUUGGGGGUAAAAAGCUCUUUGACCCGGCCCGAUAUGUACGUACCCGGGGAAAAAAGAUCGGCUAACCCCGGG